rnacentral:rRNA from 1 species
UUAGAGUUUGAUCCUGGCUCAGGAUGAACGCUAGCGAUAGGCCUAACACAUGCAAGUCGAGGGGUAACAGGGUAGCAAUACCGCUGACGACCGGCAAAUGGGUGAGUAACGCGUAUGCAACCUACCGAUAACAGUUGGAUAGCUCCCUGAAAGGGGAAUUAAACCGGCAUGAUACUAUUUAAUCGCCUGUUUAGAUAGUUAAAUAUUUAUAGGUUAUCGAUGGGCAUGCGUGACAUUAGCAAGUUGGUGAGGUAAUGGCUCACCAAGGCUUCGAUGGGUAUGGGGUCUAAAAGGAUGGUCCCACACACUGGCACUGAGACACGGGCCAGACUCCUACGGGAGGCAGCAGUGAGGAAUAUUGGUCAAUGGGCGAGAGCCUGAACCAGCCAUCCCGCGUGCAGGAUGACAGUCCUAGUGAUUGUAAACUGCUUUUCUAUAAGAUGAAUAAGGACUACGUGUAGUUCGAUGACCGUAUUAUAGGAAUAAGCAUCGGCUAACUCCGUGCCAGCAGCCGCGGUAAUACGGAGGAUCCGAGCGUUAUCCGGAUUUAUUGGGUUUAAAGGGUGCGUAGGCGGAAAUGUAAGUCAGUGGUGAAAUCCUGCAGCUUAACUGUAGAAUAGCCGUUGAAACUGUGUUUCUUGAGUACAUUUGAGGUAGGCGGAAUGUGGUGUGUAGCGGUGAAAUGCAUAGAUAUACCACAGAACACCGAUUGCGAAGGCAGCUUACUAAACUGUCACUGACGCUGAUGCACGAAAGCGUGGGUAUCAAACAGGAUUAGAUACCCUGGUAGUCCACGCUGUAAACGAUGAAUACUAGGUGUAGGGGGUAUCGACUCCCCCUGUGCCGCAGCUAACGCAUUAAGUAUUCCACCUGAGUAGUACGGUCGCAAGACUGAAACUCAAAGGAAUUGACGGGGACCCGCACAAGCAGUGGAGUAUGUGGUUUAAUUCGAGGCAACGCGAAGAACCUUACCAAGGCUUGACAUCCCGCGACAAACGUGGAAACACGUCUUCCCCUUCGGGGGCGCGGAGACAGGUGGUGCAUGGUUGUCGUCAGCUCGUGCCGUGAGAUGUUGGGUUAAGUCCCGCAACGAGCGCAACCCCUGCUGCCAGUUGCCAUCAUUAAGUUGGGCACUCUGGCGGGACUGCCGGUGAUAAAUCGGAGGAAGGUGGGGAUGACGUCAAAUCAUCAUGCCCCUUAUGUCUUGGGCUACACACGUACUACAAUGGCCGUUACAGAAGGAAGCGAAGCCGCGAGGCGGAGCGAAUCCCAAAAGGCGGCCCCAGUUCGGAUUGCAGGCUGCAACUCGCCUGCAUGAAGUCGGAAUUGCUAGUAAUUGCAGGUCAGCAUACUGCAGUGAAUACGUUCCCGGGUCUUGUACACACCGCCCGUCAAG